UACGGAGGGUGCGGGCGUUGUCCGGAAUCACUGGGCGUAAAGGGCGCGUAGGCGGCGCGGGCAGUCAACGGUGAAAGCUUGGGGCUCAACCCCGAGUCGGCCGUCGAUACUCCCGUGCUUGAGCACUGUAGAGGCAGGUGGAAUUCCGGGUGUAGCGGUGGAAUGCGUAGAGAUCCGGAAGAACACCGGUGGCGAAGGCGGCCUGCUGGGCAGUAGCUGACGCUGAGGCGCGACAGCGUGGGGAGCAAACAGG
rnacentral:rRNA from 1 species